rnacentral:rRNA from 1 species
CCUACGGGUGGCAGCAGUGGGGAAUAUUGGGCAAUGGGCGCAAGCCUGACCCAGCAACGCCGCGUGAAUGAAGACGGCCUUCGGGUUGUAAAGUUCUGUCGCAGGGGACGAAAAUGACGGUACCCUGCAAGAAAGCUCCGGCUAACUACGUGCCAGCAGCCGCGGUAAUACGUUGGGAGCAAGCGUUGUCCGGAAUUACUGGGUGUAAAGGGAGCGUAGGCGGGAGGAUAAGUUGAAUGUGAAAUCUAUGGGCUCAACCCAUAGCUGCGUUCAAAACUGUUCUUCUUGAGUGAAGUAGAGGCAGGCGGAAUUCCUAGUGUAGCGGUGAAAUGCGUAGAUAUUAGGAGGAACACCAGUGGCGAAGGCGGCCUGCUGGGCUUUUACUGACGCUGAGGCUCGAAAGCGUGGGUAGCAAACAGGAUUAGAUACCCUUGUAGUC